UUUGAUGUGGAACACCUAGCAGAGUUUGUUAAGUAAAAAUUAUUACGCUAACCUGUUUGUGCAUAAUGAAACAAGUAUCUACACUAAAAUGUACAGCAAAAAUUAUAAUGCUCUGCAUAUAUGCCACCAUAAUGAUAUAUACUACCUGCGACUGACUCGAACACUGAGUUGAGAAUAUCUAUUAAGAUAAUUACAUCUGGACUUCAUCCUUGGUAAUAUUCAACACACAAAUUGUAACUGAUGUUUUUAAAAUUCACGUGCAUACUAGAGUAGUUAAGGCAGUGAACGUUGUGUGUGAUUAUGUAUAUGUUUGUGUGUAUAGAUGUGCAGGUUAGGUUACCACUCUUAGCACAUGCCUUGUAAUCUAAAAGUUUCCAUUUAAAUAAUGUUAGAAAAACAUAUUUUUAAUAAUUUUUACCUGUUUUUGCUAAAAUGAACGUUGACUUGCACCGAAUAAUUGGAAAUCAACAGGUGGAAUGUUGUAGAAAGUAAAAAUGAAGUUGCAUGUUAUUUGCCAGGUGCUCUUUUCUCUCUCCCUUAUUAAAGUUAUUGGCUCCAAGCCAUGUAAGCUAUGUACUCUUGAAAAUCUUUUAUUCUUCCUUAAUAAGCUGUUAACUCCAAACCAUGUAUACUCUACAAGCUUUUUUGUUAUCAACAUAAACACGUUGAUUGUUUGUUGUUCUCACGCUCAGAUACGUCACGUAUACUUCUUUAUACGCGGUUACAUAUGCGAGUCCAAAAAAAUGCAACUGCGCAUCCAAAUCGCGCAUGGAUUGCUUUCUCAUAAAUUUCUGUCGUGAGCCGCGCGCGGGAUUGCUUUCCCAUAAGUUUCUGUCAUCAACGGCGCACGGGAUUGCUUUCUCAUAUAUUUCUUCAACUAUACGGCUAUUUAUGUAGCUCUAAAAAAUUUAUAACAUUUUUUAACAAAUGUUAGACGUUGUAAAAUAAAGGCAGUAUGAUACACGAAUCAAUCUGGAACAGAUUUAAAUAAAAUUUUUAUUUUGAAAAUCAAGUAACCUGCAUGAAGAAUAUUGUUUAAAUAUGGAAAACGAUAAAAAUUCUGAAAAUGUUCUGUACACAUGUGUUUCUUGUGAAAAAACUUUUAAAAGAAAGAGAGAUUUAAUAAUACAUGAAAGAAUACACUCAAAAAAUAAACCACAUAUAUGUACUAUAUGUAAAAAAAGUUUUACUCAAAUGGGAAAUUUAAAUGUGCAUAUCAAGAUCCAUGAUACUGUGAAAGCUUUUAAAUGCUUAAUAUGCGAAAAAAGUUUCAAAACAAAUGGGCAAUUAAAAGUACAUCAAAGUAUACAUAAAGGUUUGAAAAAUUACAGUUGUAAUGAGUGUAAUAAGAAGUUCUCCCAAAAUCAACAUCUACAAACUCAUAGAUUGACACAUACUGAUCUAUGUAACUUUACAUGUCAUAUCUGUAAUAAAACUUUUGUUAGAAAAGAUGUUUUGGAAAAACAUGUAAACUCACAACAUCCUAAAAAUGUUUACACAUGUAAUUAUUGUAAGAGAACAUACGUUAACAAAAAAUAUUUGGAAAAGCACAUUAUGGCUCAUAUGUCUGGAAAAGUUAAAAUUGUAAAAAUUCUUAAAACUCUAAGACCUCCAGUUUUAUCUGUACCCUUAUUAUAAAAUUAUUAAUUAUACUAUAUAUACACAAUAAAAAAAUAUUUGUUCAAAAACA
rnacentral:lncRNA from 1 species